AACGAACGCUGGCGGCAUGCCUAACACAUGCAAGUCGAACGAUUGCCUUCGGGUGAUAGUGGCGCACGGGUGCGUAACGCGUGGGAAUCUGCCCUUAGGUUCGGAAUAACAGCUGGAAACGGCUGCUACUACCGGAAGAUAUCGCGAGAUCAAAGAUUUAUCGCCUGAGGAUGAGCCCGCGUUGGAUUAUGUAGGUGGUGGGGUAAAGGCCUACCAAGCCGACGAUCCAUAGCUGGUCUGAGAGGAUGAUCAGCCACACUGGGACUGAGACACGGCCCAGACUCCUACGAGAGGCAGCAGUGGGGAAUAUUGGACAAUGGGCGCGAGCCUGAUCCGGCAAUGCCGCGUGAGUGAUGAAGGCCCUAGGGUUGUAAAGCUCUUGUAGCCGGGAAGAUAAUGACUGUACCGGGAGAAUAAGCCCCGGCUAACUCCGUG
rnacentral:rRNA from 1 species